rnacentral:misc_RNA from 1 species
UGUGUGCAUGUUAAUUUAGAUUUCGAAUCACAAUUUUACUUGUUAGUUCUGUUUAUAUCUGUAAAUUAGAUUUCCAAAGCAAUGGAACUUUUUCUCAUUGAUUUUUCUUGACUACUUUAUUUACUGUAUUGGCUCAUAAUUAAUUCUAUGGGCACAGUGUUAGUGAAAUGCUGAGCAAAUAAGCAUCAUAUUGGAGUAGGGGUUAAGAGCUCUGGCUAUAAUAAAUGAAUUUUAGCUAGAAGGCUUAGAACCAACCUAAUAUUUUGUGUGAGAUGCACACUUUUGAAGAAAUAUGUAAUACAGAACCCAACAUAAUGUAAUGCAGAGACGAUUUUGUGUGAAGAGUGUGUAGGGUUCCAGUUUUGAUGAAAUACAGCCAAUCACCCUCCUACUGGUCAGAACUAUUUAAGUUCAGUUACAAUUAUAUUAAACAUUUUUUUCAGUUUCAUUUGUUCGUAAUAUGAUGGGCCACCUUCCUUAUUGAAGUAAAUGCUACCUAAAUUUGCCUUUAAUUUCCAAUACGAAGAGCAAGGCAUUGUGUGGAUGAUUUUACACUCAGUUCAAAAUCACAUUAUGUGCUAAGAAAGAGCAUCAAGCAUAAUGCGCAAAUCAAUUUUGUAAUGAUUAGUUUUACUAUAAUUAACUGGUGAAUGAGGACAUUCUGUUAGAGAAGGUUAUUGCUAUCAUAGUCAUUUUUUAUUUCUUCUUUUGGGGUUUUUCUCUUCAGGAGUCGAAGUGAUUUUUUUAUGAUAUUUUGGGUUUCACUUCUAGCUCUAUGGCCUCUGUCUGAACAUUGUUAAGAAAUCUAUCAUUAGUUUUGCAUGUCGACAAAUGUUAUGGCUUCAUGCAACAGGAGUUGGAGCUCAACAAUAAUAUUCCAGUAGUUCUGUGACAUUCUUUUGAAGUCAGUAAAUUUUAGUAAAAAUUAAAAGAAACAUUAAUGAUGUUAGUAUCAAGGCAAUUAGUAGUUAUUUUAUAAUUCUAGCUGAUAUUCUAGUUGAGGCAUGUAAUAAUCACUUUUAUUUAAAGAAAGAAUGCGAUACCACAUGUAAUUAAUUGUAUGGUAGCAUUACUACCAGGAGCUGACUAUAUUAAUGAUUAUAGUGCUUGAAACAACUGCUUGUUCAAACUCGUUUGGCAUCAUGUCAUUUGAAACCAUAAAGUUGAUGCGUUCCAUUGUUAAGAUAAUGGG